UUCAGUAUCUCUUCGAACGUAAGACGAAGGAGCUGAAGAACUAGUAAAGUCUUCAAUAAUGACUAGUCUUUUGGUACGUUCAAAACUUAUCUUGACUGUUCCAUCGGAAAAUUGCCUAACAUUUUCUAUAUUUAAUAAAUUAUUAAUUAUAGGUUGUUGAGGUAUUUCAUUAGGUAAAGUCCACUGACUAGGGAGCGUAAUAUCUUUCCAAAGAAUUGUUCUUGGGACUUGAAUAUUAGCAUCAGUAGUAGAACUUUGAAUUAACACUGUUAAAUCUUUAGGACUUUUAUUUAAA
rnacentral:lncRNA from 1 species